rnacentral:rRNA from 1 species
GACGAACGCUGGCGGCGUGCUUAACACAUGCAAGUCGAACGGAAAGGCCCUGCUUUUGUGGGGUGCUCGAGUGGCGAACGGGUGAGUAACACGUGAGUAACCUGCCCUUGACUUUGGGAUAACUUCAGGAAACUGGGGCCAAUACCGGAUAGGAGCUCCUGCUGCAUGGUGGGGGUUGGAAAGUUUCGGCGGUUGGGGAUGGACUCGCGGCUUAUCAGCUUGUUGGUGGGGUAGUGGCUUACCAAGGCUUUGACGGGUAGCCGGCCUGAGAGGGUGACCGGCCACAUUGGGACUGAGAUACGGCCCAGACUCCUACGGGGGGCAGCAGUGGGGAAUAUUGCACAAUGGGCGGAAGCCUGAUGCAGCAACGCCGCGUGCGGGAUGACGGCCUUCGGGUUGUAAACCGCUUUCGCCUGUGACGAAGCGUGAGUGACGGUAAUGGGUAAAGAAGCACCGGCUAACUACGUG